GUGCAGCGUGUCCCUGGAAUUGUCAGACACCAUCCCGGUGUUGGUAGUUACAAAGAUGGCUUCUUUGUGUGGAGAAACAUUGGGUUCCUCUGCUCUACAAAGUGAAGAGCAAAACCCGACCCCGCCCUCUGCGACGUGUGACAGCGGCUGUCCUGUGAGUUCGGAUGGGGAACCUGGUGUUGAAGAACCGCCAGGGAGUGGUGAUGAAACAGCGCUACAAAUGACCCGGGUGUGCCAUCGUCCGAAGAAUGAGAAUUUCGAAUGUAUACGUCUGAAUUCUUACAAAGAGUGCUUUACACACUUCUUUCUACAAAGCUUGAUAUGAAAAACAAAGAGUCGAAUGCUAAUGUCCUUAAAUUUGUUAAACAGAUAGAUGUGUAUUUCAAGAACAUGAGUGAAAUUAUUGCAGAUCUGAUGUUUUCAGAUCAGAAACGGAAGCCUGAUGGCUUCUGCAGUCUGUAUUCCAAAAUACAACGUGUUUUGCACAGAACCUGUGGUAACACCAUCCGCUGAUUAUUCAGGCAAAUUUGUUUGCUCUGCUCGAUCAAAUCGCCCAAUGCGGCUCACAUGGUUUUAGACAUGGGGAGCGGAAGGGCAUUAUGAAUGCUUUUUCAGAUGCCUCAAAGUCCUAAGCAAUGUUGGGGUGGUGGUUAUGUGUACCGAACUAAUUUUCCGCACCAACAUUUAAUUGUUGAUUGCAAACGGGAGCAGGUAAUGUGUGUGUACUGCGAUGUUUCUGUGUUUGAAAACCUAUAAAGGAAAUAGUGGUUCGCAUUUUACAUGCUUGAAAACGGGAGUCUUUAACGUUUGUGAAAAGUGUGUACUACGAUGUUUCUGUGUUUGAAAACCUAUUCAUGAAAUAAGUGGUUCGCAUUUCACA